rnacentral:rRNA from 1 species
AGAGUUUGAUCCUGGCUCAGGAUGAACGCAAGAGACGCGCCUAACACAUGCAAAUCGAAUGGGAGACAACGUAACGUGCUCUCAUGGUGAACGGGUGAGUAUAACAUGAGAAUCAACCAUUAGGCAAGGUAUAACAAGAGGAAACUUUUAGUAAUCCCUUAUAUGCGCAGUAGUGCUAAGAAAGGUUCUAUAUAAAGACC